rnacentral:rRNA from 1 species
UCUUCGGAUGAAGAGGAUUGUGACUGAGCGGCGGACGGGUGAGUAACGCGUGGGUAACCUGCCUCAUACAGGGGGAUAACAGUUAGAAAUGACUGCUAAUACCGCAUAAGACCACAGCACCGCAUGGUGCGGGGGUAAAAACUCCGGUGGUAUGAGAUGGACCCGCGUCUGAUUAGCUAGUUGGUAAGGUAACGGCUUACCAAGGCGACGAUCAGUAGCCGACCUGAGAGGGUGACCGGCCACAUUGGGACUGAGACACGGCCCAAACUCCUACGGGAGGCAGCAGUGGGGAAUAUUGCACAAUGGGGGAAACCCUGAUGCAGCGACGCCGCGUGAGCGAAGAAGUAUUUCGGUAUGUAAAGCUCUAUCAGCAGGGAAGAAAAUGACGGUACCUAACUAAGAAGCACCGGCUAAAUACGUGCCAGCAGCCGCGGUAAUACGUAUGGUGCAAGCGUUAUCCGGAUUUACUGGGUGUAAAGGGAGCGUAGACGGAUGGGCAAGUCUGAUGUGAAAACCCGGGGCUCAACCCCGGGACUGCAUUGGAAACUGUUCAUCUAGAGUGCUGGAGAGGUAAGUGGAAUUCCUAGUGUAGCGGUGAAAUGCGUAGAUAUUAGGAGGA